rnacentral:lncRNA from 1 species
UCCAUCUACUGUGUCUCGCCUGUUUCCCAAAAUCCCAAAUUGGACGGGAAACAGGAUUCUCAUGCUGUUGUUUGUGUCUGUUCUAACAGUCGGUAAAUUAACCAGAUAUAGCCUUUAUGCACAGCACCGUGGUACAAAAAGUGAUAGUUAUACUGUUCCUGUAUUUUGACUAACAAUUUUGGUUUAGAAAACAUGCAUUUAUGAGCCGGAGGACUCGUUGGUUAACUAAUAUCUACAUUGUUGUCGAUCGCUGAUAAGUCACCAUCAUGAGCAGUUUUUUUUUUUUGAAAAAAAUCAGGCAGGAGAGUUACCGAUUAUAUUAAAAAGAAUAUAAAAGGUCCAGACUGGGCAAUACAAUGAGCAGGUCUGAUAAAUGAUGAUAUUCAAAAGGUUUAUCUGGUACCAUUAGAGCCUAUUCAGAAGAACCAAGUGCUUGCUCAUAUAAAACUAACCAUCCCAAUACACGUGGAUUUGAAGUGGAAGACGAACUAAUUUCAUUGUCAACCCUCCUCCCUCCUAAUAAUAUAUGGAUGGGAGAGGAGUGUUCCCAAUCCACACGAGGCAGGACGUGGUUUCGGAUUAAGCCCAGGCGCCUAACUGACGACGAAUGGGGAAGGUAGCUUUGUGCUCACCGCGUCUGCCGACAUCUGAAGUGGCUAUUUUUGCUCCCAACAAGAUGGCUGCAGAAGGUGCAGGUCACCGCGACACCGCGUGGCGCUGCCGGCAGGCGCCGCGGUUCAUCCCCCCCACCGCUCGCGCCGGCCGCCGCCCAGUUCAAUGCUAGGAACAUGAGAACGCCAUGUGACGAAAUGAGGGCCACUUGACCGUUUCGGCUCGCCUUACCGAAACGCAGCUUGCAGCAACAGCGAUCGCCAACUUGUGGCUGACUUGGAGCCAUACGAUGUCCUGAGUAGCGUUGCACUCUGAACUUUGCUGCUGCUGCUGCUGAAAGAUGCUGCCUACAUACUAACCGCAACCAUCUAAAUGGAUAAAUGUUUCUGAAGCCCAGAAAAUGCCGAACGGUUGAGCUAGAUUAGGUUACAUAAGAAUGGCGUUAACUGACAGGUAGGAAAAGUGGUUUUGUUUUAUGCUGACGACAGGCGACAUCUGAACAAGCUUG